GAUGAACGCUGGCGGCGUGCCUAAUACAUGCAAGUAGAACGCUGAAGGAGGAGCUUGCUCUUCUGGAUGAGUUGCGAACGGGUGAGUAACGCGUAGGUAACCUGCCUGGUAGCGGGGGAUAACUAUUGGAAACGAUAGCUAAUACCGCAUGACAACAGUUAUUGCAUGAUAACUGUUUAAAAGGGGCAACUGCUCCACUACCAGAUGGACCUGCGUUGUAUUAGCUAGUUGGUGAGGUAACGGCUCACCAAGGCGACGAUACAUAGCCGACCUGAGAGGGUGAUCGGCCACACUGGGACUGAGACACGGCCCAGACUCCUACGGGAGGCAGCAGUAGGGAAGCGUCGGCAAGGGACGGAAGUCUGACCGAGCAACGCCGCGUGAGUGAAGAAGGUUUUCGGAUCGUAAAGCUCUGUUGUAAGAGAAGAACGAGUGUGAGAGUGGAAAGUUCACACUGUGACGGUAUCUUACCAGAAAGGGACGGCUAACUACGUG
rnacentral:rRNA from 1 species